GUUCGGCCGGGAACUCUAAGGAGACUGCCGGUGAUAAACCGGAGGAAGGUGGGGAUGAUGUCAAGUCAUCAUGGCCCUUACGGGUAGGGCUACACACGUGCUACAAUGGGCAGUACAAAGGGUUGCCAAACUGCGAGGUAAAGCUAAUCCCAAAAAACUGCUCGUAGUCCGGAUUGGAGUCUGCAACUCGACUCCAUGAAGCUGGAAUCGCUAGUAAUCGCGAAUCAGAAUGUCGCGGUGAAUACGUUCUCGGGCCUUGUACACACCGCCCGUCACACCAUGGGAGU
rnacentral:rRNA from 1 species